UAAGCUACAAUGAUGUCAAGCC
rnacentral:siRNA from 1 species